AGGAAUAGGGAUUGGCGGCGUGCUAUACAUGCAAGUCGAGCGGACAGAUGGGAGCUUGCUCCCUGAUGUUAGCGGCGGACGGGUGAGUAACACGUGGGUAACCUGCCUGUAAGACUGGGAUAACUCCGGGAAACCGGGGCUAAUACCGGAUGGUUGUCUGAACCGCAUGGUUCAGACAUAAAAGGUGGCUUCGGCUACCACUUACAGAUGGACCCGCGGCGCAUUAGCUAGUUGGUGAGGUAACGGCUCACCAAGGCGACGAUGCGUAGCCGACCUGAGAGGGUGAUCGGCCACACUGGGACUGAGACACGGCCCAGACUCCUACGGGAGGCAGCAGUAGGGAAUCUUCCGCAAUGGACGAAAGUCUGACGGAGCAACGCCGCGUGAGUGAUGAAGGUUUUCGGAUCGUAAAGCUCUGUUGUUAGGGAAGAACAAGUGCCGUUCAAAUAGGGCGGCACCUUGACGGUACCUAACCAGAAAGCCACGGCUAACUACGUGCCAGCAGCCGCGGUAAUACGUAGGUGGCAAGCGUUGUCCGGAAUUAUUGGGCGUAAAGGGCUCGCAGGCGGUUUCUUAAGUCUGAUGUGAAAGCCCCCGGCUCAACCGGGGAGGGUCAUUGGAAACUGGGGAACUUGAGUGCAGAAGAGGAGAGUGGAAUUCCACGUGUAGCGGUGAAAUGCGUAGAGAUGUGGAGGAACACCAGUGGCGAAGGCGACUCUCUGGUCUGUAACUGACGCUGAGGAGCGAAAGCGUGGGGAGCGAACAGGAUUAGAUACCCUGGUAGUCCACGCCGUAAACGAUGAGUGCUAAGUGUUAGGGGGUUUCCGCCCCUUAGUGCUGCAGCUAACGCAUUAAGCACUCCGCCUGGGGAGUACGGUCGCAAGACUGAAACUCAAAGGAAUUGACGGGGGCCCGCACAAGCGGUGGAGCAUGUGGUUUAAUUCGAAGCAACGCGAAGAACCUUACCAGGUCUUGACAUCCUCUGACAAUCCUAGAGAUAGGACGUCCCCUUCGGGGGCAGA
rnacentral:rRNA from 1 species